rnacentral:rRNA from 1 species
CUUGAAGACUACAAGGUUGAUAGGUCGUAGGUGUAAGCAUGGCAACAUGUUUAGCUGAACGAUACUAAUUGGUCGAAGGCUUGUCCUC